AUUGAACGCUGGCGGCAGGCCUAACACAUGCAAGUCGAGCGGAUGAAGGGAGCUUGCUCCUGGAUUCAGCGGCGGACGGGUGAGUAAUGCCUAGGAAUCUGCCUGGUAGUGGGGGUAAAGAUCGGCAAACGGCCGCUAAUACUGCCUACUUCGUGGGGCGGAAGUUGGGGGUUGUUGGGACUCCCUCCUCCCAGUGGGACUUAGGUGGGUUUAGCUAGCUUGUGGGUUAAAGGCUUACCAAGCCGAGGAUCCGUAACUGGUCUGAGAGGAUGAUUAGUCACACUGGAGCUGAGACACGGUCCAGACUCCUACGGGAGGCAGCAGUGGGGAAUAUUGGACAAUGGGCGAAAGCCUGGUCCAGCCAUGCCGCGUGUGUGAAGAAGGUCUUCGGAUUGUAAAGCACUUUAAGUUGGGAGGAAGGGCAGUAAGUUAAUACCUUGCUGUUUUGACGUUACCAACAGAAUAAGCACCGGCUAACUUCGUG
rnacentral:rRNA from 1 species